rnacentral:rRNA from 1 species
GACGAACGCUGGCGGCGCGCUUAACACAUGCAAGUCGAGCGAAGCGGCGGACGGGUGAGUAACACGUGAGUAACCUGCCUUAGACAUUGGGAUAGCCUCGGGAAACCGGGAUUAAUACCAAAUGGUCUAAGAUGGACUAGCGUCCCAUUAGCGAGUUGGUGAGGUAACGGCCCACGAAGGCGACGAUGGGUACCCGGCCUGGGAGGGUGAACGGCCACAUUGGAACUGAGAAGCGGUCCAAACUCUACGGGAUGCCGCAGUGGGGAAUAUUGCACAAUGGAGGGAACUCUGAUGCAGCGACGCCGCGUGAACGAAGAAGGCUUUCGAGACGUAAAGUUCUUUUAUAUGGGAAGCGGUACCAUAAGAAAAAGCCCCGGCUAACUACGUGCCAGCAGCCGCGGUAAUAC